rnacentral:rRNA from 1 species
GAUGAACGCUGGCGGCGUGCCUAAUACAUGCAAGUCGAGCGAACAGACGAGGCGCUUGCUGCUUGCUCGUUAGCCGAGCACGGGUGAGUAACGCGAGGAAAACGCACUUAUAAGACUGAGAACACUUCGGGAAACGGGCGCAAAUAGCGUAUAAUAUCUUGAACCGCAUGGGUGAAUGGUGAGAGACGGUGGUGCGGGCACGUAUCGAUGGAUACGCGCUGCUUUGGCUGGUAGGUAAGGUAAAGGCUUACCAAGGCAAGGAUGCGUAGCCGACUUGAGAGGGGGAUCGGCCACAUGGGAAGUGGGCCGCGGCCCAGACUCCUACGGGAGGCAGCAGUAGGGAAUCGUGCGCAAUGGGCGAAAGCCUGACGGAGCAACGCGGCGUGAGUGAUGAAGGUCUCCGGAUCGUAAAACUCUGUUAUUAGUGAAGAACAUAUGUGUAAGUAACUGUGCACAUCUUGACGGUACCUAAUCAGAAAGCCACGGCUAACUACGUG